rnacentral:tRNA from 1 species
GCCCUCAUAGUUAAAUGGAUAUAACAGUCCCGUCCUAAGGGAUAGUUCGAGGUUCGAUUCCUCGUGAGGGCACUA